UACAGAGGGGGCAAGCGUUGUUCGGAAUUACUGGGCGUAAAGCGCGCGUAGGCGGCCUCUUAAGUCGAACGUGAAAUCCCCGGGCUCAACCCGGGAACUGCGUCCGAUACUGGGAGGCUUGAAUCCGGGAGAGGGAUGUGGAAUUCCAGGUGUAGCGGUGAAAUGCGUAGAUAUCUGGAGGAACACCGGUGGCGAAGGCGGCAUCCUGGACCGGUAUUGACGCUGAGGCGCGAAAGCCAGGGGAGCAAACGGG
rnacentral:rRNA from 1 species